rnacentral:tRNA from 1 species
GGGAAGGUGGUCUAGCUUGGAAUGAUACUGAAACCUAUGCUGAGAGGUCGGGGGUUCAAAUCCCCCCUUUCCA